rnacentral:lncRNA from 1 species
GAGCCUGGGGAUGGAGAAUGUGCUGGAGGUCAAAGCAGGGCCUGCGGGAGCGGGAGGAGUCGGCCUGGGAACUGCUGCGUACCCUUUAGACUGACCCCAUGAGAGGCACGAUCCCCAUUGUACAGAUGAGGAAACUGAGGCUCAGCAGGUGCAAUUGGAAAAUAGCUGCUAUCUCCAAAGGAACGGCCUUGGUUUCGUCUUCCAAAUGCCACCGCAUUUGGGGCGGCGCGGGGCUUAAUAGAAGAUUAUUUUUUAC